GACGAACGCUGGCGGCGUGCUUAACACAUGCAAGUCGAACGGAAAGGCCCUGCUUUUGUGGGGUGCUCGAGUGGCGAACGGGUGAGUAACACGUGAGUAACCUGCCCUUGACUUUGGGAUAACUUCAGGAAACUGGGGCUAAUACCGGAUAGGAGCUCCUGCUGCAUGGUGGGGGUUGGAAAGUUUCGGCGGUUGGGGAUGGACUCGCGGCUUAUCAGCUUGUUGGUGGGGUAGUGGCUUACCAAGGCUUUGACGGGUAGCCGGCCUGAGAGGGUGACCGGCCACAUUGGGACUGAGAUACGGCCCAGACUCCUACGUGAGGCAGCAGUGGGGAAUAUUGCACAAUGGGCGGAAGCCUGAUGCAGCAACGCCGCGUGCGGGAUGACUGCCUUCGGGUUGUAAACCGCUUUCGCCUGUGACGAAGCGUGAGUGACGGUAAUGGGUAAAGAAGCACCGGCUAACUACGUG
rnacentral:rRNA from 1 species